GGGGCGGGCUACACAUGCAAGUCGAGCGGAUGAAGGGAGCUUGCUCCUGGAUUCAGCGGCGGACGGGUGAGUAAUGCCUAGGAAUCUGCCUGGUAGUGGGGGAUAACGUCCGGAAACGGGCGCUAAUACCGCAUACGUCCUGAGGGAGAAAGUGGGGGAUCUUCGGACCUCACGCUAUCAGAUGAGCCUAGGUCGGAUUAGCUAGUUGGUGGGGUAAAGGCCUACCAAGGCGACGAUCCGUAACUGGUCUGAGAGGAUGAUCAGUCACACUGGAACUGAGACACGGUCCAGACUCCUACGGGAGGCAGCAGUGGGGAAUAUUGGACAAUGGGCGAAAGCCUGAUCCAGCCAUGCCGCGUGUGUGAAGAAGGUCUUCGGAUUGUAAAGCACUUUAAGUUGGGAGGAAGGGCAGUAAGUUAAUACCUUGCUGUUUUGACGUUACCAACAGAAUAAGCACCGGCUAACUUCGUGCCAGCAGCCGCGGUAAUACGAAGGGUGCAAGCGUUAAUCGGAAUUACUGGGCGUAAAGCGCGCGUAGGUGGUUCAGCAAGUUGGAUGUGAAAUCCCCGGGCUCAACCUGGGAACUGCAUCCAAAACUACUGAGCUAGAGUACGGUAGAGGGUGGUGGAAUUUCCUGUGUAGCGGUGAAAUGCGUAGAUAUAGGAAGGAACACCAGUGGCGAAGGCGACCACCUGGACUGAUACUGACACUGAGGUGCGAAAGCGUGGGGAGCAAACAGGAUUAGAUACCCUGGUAGUCCACGCCGUAAACGAUGUCGACUAGCCGUUGGGAUCCUUGAGAUCUUAGUGGCGCAGCUAACGCGAUAAGUCGACCGCCUGGGGAGUACGGCCGCAAGGUU
rnacentral:rRNA from 1 species